UACGUAGGUGGCAAGCGUUGUCCGGAUUUAUUGGGCGUAAAGAGCGUGUAGGCGGCCAGGUAGGUCUGCUGUGAAAACUCGAGGCUCAACCUCGAGACGCCGGCGGAAACCAUCUGGCUAGAGUCCGGAAGAGGAGAGUGGAAUUCCUGGUGUAGCGGUGAAAUGCGCAGAUAUCAGGAAGAACACCCGUGGCGAAGGCGGCUCUCUGGGACGGUACUGACGCUGAGACGCGAAAGCGUGGGAGCGAAGCAGG
rnacentral:rRNA from 1 species